CGGCAGCUCUGCGGGACCCCAGUCGGAGCCGGCCCGAGGAGGAGGAGGAUCCUAGGACCCAGUUACAUGUGAGUAACACCCAGUAGACAAGUAACACCUUCUGGUUGGCAAGGACUUAUUCAAGGCAAUGAGCCAUGAGGGAAAAGAGUAGGCCUGCUCCCACCUGAUGAGCCUUCAUGAAAACACUCUAGACAGCCUGAAAGUGAUGACUGCUAUGACUCUACAAAGACAUGUGACCAACCCACAUGAUUCUGGACUCCAUUUUGGGAAUGUCAGUAUUAUUCCACACACCGGUCUGCAAACCAGGGUUUGAAAUGAAGAUUUCCCUCCAUAUGCUAAAGCUAUAUAAGGCAGGGAGUGAUAUCAUCUGUUGUUCUUCACUCCCCACACAAGAAGACUCCUGGCAACAUGAAAGGAACAAAGACUGAAUUGGGGAAAGUGCUAGAUCCAGGCUAAAGGCCUUUCUGGACUAUGUGUGAAAGACCUGGAAAUUCCAAGCUAAAAAGUCAUUUCAGUUUGCCCCUUAAGAAUCUGCAGCCUGCUUGUUUCAUCAGCCAGGAUGUGAAUUUGCUAAUUCAUACCCUAUCAUUCUAGUAUCUUGGGCUUAGUUUGUGUAUAUUUAUAUAUAAUCUGAUAUGAUCUGUUGCUAUCACUUAUAAUCACUUAAACUCUCUUUUGUAGUUAAUACAUUUGUUUUGCUUUAUCUAAACUAGUGAGUUUGGAGUGACGCGUAUGGAAAAUCAUAGCUGCAGGGACAAAGUCCACUGCAUAUUCCUCUUCACAUUGUGGAGAAGAGAGGGAGAACAGACAUGGUAUAUGCUUACACUAUACAAUUCCCUGUGCAAUGCAAUAUGGGAAUUUUGGGUUUAUGAUCAAGAAGGGGCACAGGUUUGCAGAGCUGAGAAUUACCUUGAUUAUACCCUUUUCAGUGUUGGUUCAUGCAGUGGUGACUCAGAAGGUCUGUGUGUAACUGUAAUUGGGUGUGUCCUCACCUGUGUGAAUGCAGGUAGAAGUGUAGGACUGGGGAUGGAUACGAAGCUUGUCAUAGCAUUACAGUGUAAGAGGGAGCCCAGGCUACUGGGUCAGAGGGCUUAGUGGCAUCCCAGUCCCAGGGGGCACAUCCAGGACACCCAUCACAAUAUAUUUUUAUAUAUUUACCUAUUAUAAAUUUGAGUUUGUCUA